UCUCCCAAACCACCUCUUUCUCCUCUCCCCAACUCCCACCCAAUCCCCUUAAAUUGCUCAAGAUCCUGAAAAUAAAAGUGGGAAAGGCAGGUUGAAUAGGGGAGAGGAAAAAUCUAUCAAGAGCAAAGAGCAAAUGAUUAUCUCAAGACAAGUGCCUUCUUCACUAAAAUCAGCUGGGUAGUAACAUACGCCUAUGGGAAAAAGCUAUGUCCUUGGAGUGACCUUCAUGCUGCAGCUGAAGCCAACAGGACAUGACUGGAACAGCCCACAGAAGGCUGGCAUGGCUACACCUGCAGUGUCUUGGGUCCGCGGCCUGACGCCAGCUCAAAACCUGACAGCCCACUUCUUCCCCCAGAGAAAAUUUGUCAACUUGUCUCCCUUCCUACAUGUUUCAUUGACACAGCUCACUGGAGAGAUCUGCUUUUAAAAAAGAGCCAAAUUUCCUAGCAUGUUAUUUACUUUUGGUCCACCAUAGCCCUCUAAAGAUGAUGCUUUUCUUCUCUGCUCAAUGGGUUGAAAUUUAAUAUUGGGAAUUGGUCAAAUCGAAUCGUUUCGAUAAUGAAAGCUGAACUACCAAGACUGCAAUUUCCUUUGUGGGGGACGUUAAUUUCUAGUCCAUAAAUGUGAGCGUACAUUUAGACUAGUUCUCCUGCCCAAUUUAUUUGAGUCUUAUAUUGGGUGUUUGUUGUAGGUAAAUGCAAAUACCAUGUUUUGAGUGCACAAAUCCAUGCUGUCUACUAUGACCUUGGGAAGUGGGGAAGGACAGAGACAGAUGUGUGUUCCGGUGCUCUGUGUACUGGAACCCGCUUCCCUUUGUCCUUUGUGCUACAGUCUGAGAGCCAAGUGUGUGGUCAUCUGGGCAUGCCCUCACGGAGGGUCAGUGCCUGGGGAGAGGGCAUUGGUCCCAUGGCAGGAAACACAGGGUCCUUUGUUUGAGAGAAGCAUUUUGUUACCGUGUGUGAAUGGAAGGAAGGCCGGGUGUCACACGGUUCCUUACUAAAAGCUCACUGGAUUCCAAGGGCAAUUGUGCUAACUCACAGGAACUAGUCUUUUUCUUCCGGCUCAGUGGACUUUACUGAAGUGUCCCAAAGAAAAGAUGAAAAGGUAGUCCACACUUGGAUGCCGGAAACCCGCCAAGGAGGAGAAUAAGUUGCCAUUUCUUAAUUUUCCUACGAUGCUGGUCUAAAAGGGUCUCCUGAGACAGUAACAAGGCCAAGUCAACAGUCCCUUUGAUAAUCAAGUCCCAAAGCACUGGAGUUGGAAUACAGCUACAACAAAGUGGUCCUUGGUUUUAGAAAUCUUCAAUAACCUGAGGAGACUGGGGCGUGACCACCUUUUUUUCUUUUACAACUGAGCCUCUGCCUGCCACGCAAACCACACUGACCAUCGAUGGCCAAGAGCUCAUCCCCCUUCAACACAAGCAGUUGAGUCAAAAAGCUGGUCUGACAACUUAACUAAUGGGCCCAACAAGUGAUGACACCCUCCAAAUUUGUGAAAACAUGCAUCGUCAAUGCCUUAUUGAUACACUCUUGGGAAAGGAAAAACCCCGUGCAACACAAAAGAAGCCAUGAGGAAGGGAAGGGGACACCUAGGGUACAUGAAGUUGUCUAGAAGAUGCCAGUUCAGCUUUGCCUAAAAACAUGACACACAUCAUCAGAAGAUAUUCAUCCAGUUCCCAAGCAUUUUCCUAAGGCCGGCCCAGGUUUCUGGAGACAAUCUGCUCUCUGUAGGAGAGAAAAAGAAGAAGAAGAAGAAGAA